rnacentral:rRNA from 1 species
GACGAACGCUGGCGGCGUGCUUAACACAUGCAAGUCGAACGGAAAGGCCCUGCUUUUGUGGGGUGCUCGAGUGGCGAACGGGUGAGUAACACGUGAGUAACCUGCCCUUGACUUUGGGAUAACUUCAGGAAACUGGGGCUAAUACCGGAUAGGAGCUCCUGCUGCAUGGUGGGGGUUGGAAAGUUUCGGCGGUUGGGGAUGGACUCGCGGCUUAUCAGCUUGUUGGUGGGGUAGUGGCUUACCAAGGCUUUGACGGGUAGCCGGCCUGAGAGGGUGACCGGCCAGAUUGGGACUGAGAUACGGCCCAGACUGCUACGGGAGGCAGCAGUGGGGAAUAUUGCACAAUGGGCGGAAGCCUGAUGCAGCAACGCCGCGUGCGGGAUGACGGCCUUCGGGUUGUAAACCGCUUUCGCCUGUGACGAAGCGUGAGUGACGGUAAUGGGUAAAGAAGCACCGGCUAACUACGUG